GAGUUUGAUCCUGGCUCAGAACGAACGCUGGCGGCAUGCCUAACACAUGCAAGUCGAACGAGACCUUCGGGUCUAGUGGCGCACGGGUGCGUAACACGUGGGAAUCUGCCCUUUGCUUCGGAAUAACAGUUAGAAAUGACUGCUAAUACCGGAUGAUGUCGAAAGACCAAAGAUUUAUCGGCAAAGGAUGAGCCCGCGUAGGAUUAGGUAGUUGGUGGGGUAAAGGCCUACCAAGCCGACGAUCCUUAGCUGGUCUGAGAGGAUGAUCAGCCACACUGGGACUGAGACACGGCCCAGACUCCUACGGGAGGCAGCAGUGGGGAAUAUUGGACAAUGGGCGAAAGCCUGAUCCAGCAAUGCCGCGUGAGUGAUGAAGGCCUUAGGGUUGUAAAGCUCUUUUGGCGGGGACGAUGAUGACGGUACCCGCAGAAUAAGCCCCGGCUAACUUCGUGCCAGCAGCCGCGGUAC
rnacentral:rRNA from 1 species